ensembl:snRNA U1 U1 spliceosomal RNA
AUACUUACCUGGCAGGGGAGAUACCAUGAUCAAGAAGGUGGUUCACCCGCUCAAGAAACAUCCUAAGACUCUGCCUGGAAAUGGCCUCGGCUUCAGCUGGUUCCCGUAGGAAUGCAGUUCGAUUUGUGCUCCUUGAAGAAUUGGAAAUGGACAGACUACAG